GAAUAUUGGACAAUGGGCGCAAGCCUGAUCCAGCCAUGCCGCGUGUGUGAAGAAGGCCUUCGGGUUGUAAAGCACUUUUGUACGGGAAGAAACGCGAUCGGAUAAUACCUGGUCGAACUGACGGUACCGUAAGAAUAAGCACCGGCGAACUUCGUGCCAGCAGCCGCGGUAAUACGAAGGGUGCAAGCGUUACUCGGAAUUACUGGGCGUAAAGCGUGCGUAGGUGGUUUGUUAAGUCUGAUGUGAAAGCCCUGGGCUCAACCUGGGAACUGCAUUGGAUACUGGCUUACUAGAGUGCGGUAGAGGGUAGCGGAAUUCCCGGUGUAGCAGUGAAAUGCGUAGAUAUCGGGAGGAACAUCCGUGGCGAAGGCGGCUACCUGGACCAGCACUGGCACUGAGGCACGAAAGCGUGGGGAGCAAAC
rnacentral:rRNA from 1 species